GCAGCUGUUGUUCAUCAUUUCCUUCCCUAAUUUGUUCCAAGAUUAGCUGACUUGUCACAGUCAUUUCCUCGUGGUCCACCACCCUGCCAUGACGGUUGAAGAGCAUAAAGGAGAAAACUUGGACAGAAGAAAACUUGAAAGUGUCCUUCAAAGAGCAGCUCAGAUAGCAUCAUUGACUGGACUUGCUUCAUUACUAUGGCUUUGCAGAAUGGAUCAACCUCAGGUAGCCCUAUUACAAAAGACCCCACACUUGAUGGAUCAGCUGUCACUACACAGAGCGAUAAACUGGCUCAUCUGGUCUUGUGGUCCUCACGCAGGAACUGACUCAGCUCAAGAGAAAAGCUUCAACUCCCUAUGAUUUCAUCUUUGACCCGACCAACCAGAGCUCCUGACUCACCCACCCACUACCCACCAAAUUAUCCUUAAGAACUCUGAUCCCUGAAUGCUCGGGAAAUUCAUUUGAGUAAAAAUAAAACUCCAGUCUCCUGUACAGCCAGCUCUGUGUAAAUUACUCUUUCUCUGUUGUAAUUCCCGUCUUGAUAAAUUGGCUCAGUCUAGUCAGUGAGCAAGGUGACAAGUCCAAGAGAAAAAAAUAUUUUUUGAAAUACACAUAUGUGAGUGCAUGUACACAUUCCUUGUUCUCAAAACUUACUGUAACAGAACUCAAUGUUAACGUCAUUCCUCGCUAAGUUACAAAGUUAAGAAUAACACAGUGGUGUGAAUUUUUUAAUCAAAGAAGUACAAGGUAUUUUUAGAUUGUUUCUAAUGACAGAGUUUUACUGAUGUUCUUGUUUCCAUGCAUCUCCACAUAUCUCCACAACUGGAAAUUCCACUAGCAGUAUUCUUUCAUGUAUUCCUUUCUUCAUUCAUUCACUAACUACUUUUUGGAAGGGUACCAUGUGCGAGACACUGUUCUUGAUACAGAGAUGAACAAAAAAGAAAAAAUCUUUGCCAUAAUGGACCUUGCAUUCAAGUGUGGGGAGACAAGAACAUGUAAACCAAUAAUACUUUCAAAUAGUCUGAUAUGAAGAAUAUGCAACGCAGUAAAGAGAUACAAAGAGAGAGGGAGCUAUGUUAGAGAGGCUGGCCAAGUAAGGAUUUGCUAAAUUUUCACAUUUGAAAGGAAACCUAAAUGAUGUUUAUUAUCACGGGGAUCUUGAGGAUAAGUACUGAUGGCACAGGAAGCAGAAGGUACAAAUCCCUGAGGCGGCAAUUCAAGGAAUAGAAAGGCCAGGUGGCUGGAACACAGUAAACUAUAACAGAUUGUCUCCAUUAAAUGCAAAGAAAUUUAACUGAAAACAUAGUAAACCCUUCAUAUAUUUCCUAAGAAAUGCUGCACCUGACAGGGAGAAAAUAGAAGUUUUAGAUGUGAAUGAUGGGUAUUCUGAUAGACUCAAUAGUUAAGAGACACUCUCUCUCACAUCAGUCUGGCAGAAAAUAUGAUUCAAAUGAGUACAGUAGGGAAUUUAUAAAUUAUUACAUGUCAUGACCUUUGGAGUCUGAGGUAGAUUAAAACCACAAGAAUUGAC
rnacentral:lncRNA from 10 species